rnacentral:rRNA from 1 species
UCCUGGCUCAGGAUGAACGCUAGCUACAGGCUUAACACAUGCAAGUCGCGGGGCAUCAUGGCAUGUAGCAAUACAUGCUGAUGGCGACCGGCGGAUGGGUGAGUAACGCGUAUCCAACCUGGCCCUAUCUCGGGUACAGCCCCUCGAAAGAGGGAUUAAUGCCCGAUGUUCCCUGGGAUCCGCAUGUUUUCCAGGGCAAAGGCAUUUGUCGGAUAGGGAUGGGGGAUGCGUUCCAUUAGGCAGUCGGCGGGGUAACGGCCCACCGAGCCUACGAUGGAUAGGGGUUCUGAGAGGAAGGCCCCCCACACUGGGACUGAGACACGGCCCAGACUCCUACGGGAGGCAGCAGUGAGGAAUAUUGGUCAAUGGCGGCAACGCUGAACCAGCCAAGUAGCGUGAGGGAUUACGGCCCUAUGGGUUUUAAACCUCUUUUGUUAGGGAGCAACCGGUGGCACUUGUGCCAUUCUGCGAGUACCUUUCGAAUAAGCAUCGGCUAACUCCGUGCCAGCAGCUGC